rnacentral:rRNA from 1 species
UACAGAGGUCCCGAGCGUUGUUCGGAUUCACUGGGCGUAAAGGGUGCGUAGGCGGUCGGGUAAGUCUGAUGUGAAAUCUCACAGCUUAGCUGUGAAACUGCAUUGGAUACUAUUCGGCUUGAGAGUUGGAGGGGGGACUGGAAUUCUUGGUGUAGCAGUGAAAUGCGUAGAUAUCAAGAGGAACACCAGUGGCGAAGGCGAGUCCCUGGACAACUUCUGACGCUGAGGCACGAAAGCUAGGGGAGCAAACAGG